AUUGAACGCUGGCGGCAGGCCUAACACAUGCAAGUCGAGCGGGGUUUUCGGACCUAGCGGCGGACGGGUGAGUAAUGCGUAGGAAGCUACCCGAUAGAGGGGGAUACCAGUUGGAAACGACUGUUAAUACCGCAUAAUGUCUACGGACCAAAGUGUGGGACCUUCGGGCCACAUGCUAUCGGAUGCGCCUACGUGGGAUUAGCUAGUUGGUGAGGUAUGGCUCACCAAGGCGACGAUCCCUAGCUGGUUUGAGAGGAUGAUCAGCCACACUGGAACUGGGACACGGUCCAGACUCCUACGGGAGGCAGCAGUGGGGAAUAUUGGACAAUGGGCGCAAGCCUGAUCCAGCCAUGCCGCGUGUGUGAAGAAGGCCUUCGGGUUGUAAAGCACUUUCAGUAGGGAGGAAGCGUUGUGUGUUAAUAGUACACAGCGUUGACGUUACCUACAGAAGAAGCACCGGCUAACUCUGUGCCAGCCGCCGCAGUAAGAC
rnacentral:rRNA from 1 species